rnacentral:lncRNA from 1 species
AGUAAUUUUGUCGCUAGUUACUGUAUUACUGGAAAAUGUAUUCCUAGGCUUUAAGAUUUGGGAAGCGUGUGAGUCUAACUUCUCAAACAGAAUUUGACAAGGACGUAGCAGUGUUUUAAAAAGUCAGGGAAAGGAAAGAGGUGUGUUCAGCAUUCCUGCCCCAUCUUAACAUAUUCUUUUUCUCGUCUUAACAGUGGUAAUAUUUUAUGUUAUUUUGGUUUGAUUUUUGUUUGUGGCAUAUGGCUCUGCUGUCCUGUGACUCUAAGUAGAAGAGAAAAUAGUGCCAAUAAUUCUUCAUGGAGAUGCACCUCUCUCAAGUCUUGAACAAUGUUUGAGGAAAAGUGCUUUCAGCUGGGCUGAUGAGAACACCUUGGCACUCUUUCCUGCAAUGGGCACUGAUUGAGGGUCUUCCUGGUGUGGCAUCAUCAAAUCCCUGUUGCUCAAACCCACUAAUUAGCUCAUUCUUAUCUACAAGUAGCAGGGGCCCUAAAGCUCUCUGAGAAGAUCUCAUACUGUGUCUCCUACAUUUCAUCUUCUAUAAUCUCUUAUUCUUAGAGACAGAAAGAUGGUUAAAAGACAUCACUUCAUUUCUUUCUCUGGAUUUGGAAAGAGUUAUAUAUUGGGAUUAUGCUGUUAGUUUACACUUGCAUUGUUUAAAUUAGAGGAAAGGUUAUUUUGUGCAGAACAAAUAAAAAUUACUCUUUAACUACCUUUCAGAAUAUCCCAACUUUUAACAUAAGCUGUUUUGUAAAGGCUGGUUGUAGUGACUUGCUUCAUAAUAGACUAUUAAAAUAAGAUGCAUUGA